rnacentral:rRNA from 1 species
ACCUACACUGACCUUGGGGCAGGAAAGCGUGGGAGCCAACCAGAAUUGAAUACCCUGGUAGUUCCGGCCCUAAACGAUGCAUACCUGGUGUGGGCAGUUCAAUCUGUCCGGGCCGAAGUUAACGCGAUAAGUAUCCCGCCUGGGGAGUACGUUCGCAAGGCUGAAACUCAAAGGAAUUGACGGGGGCCCGCACAAGCGGUGGAGCAUGUGGUUUAAUUCGACGCCACGCGAAGAACCUUACCUGGGGUCGAACGGCUUCCCAACGGUUCUGGAAACAGAGCUAUCCCGCAAGGGAGUGGAGUCGAGGUGCUGCAUGGCUGUCGUCAGCUCGUGUCGUGAGAUGUUGGGUUAAGUCCCGCAACGAGCGCAACCAUUGUCCUGUGUCGCAACUAUUAAGUUAGGCACUCUCAGGAGACCGCCAGCGAUAAGCUGGAGGAAGGUGGGGAUGACGUCAAGUCAUCAUGGCCUUUAUGUCCAGGGCUACACACGUGCUACAAUGGGCGGUACAAACCGUUGCAAACCCGUGAGGGGGAGCUAAUCGGAAAAAACCGUUCUCAGUUCGGAUUGCAGGCUGCAACCCGCCUGCAUGAAGCUGGAAUCGCUAGUAAUGGUAUAUCAGCACGAUACCGUGAAUACGUUCCCGGGCCUUGUACACACCGCCCGUCACAUCACGAAAGUGGGUUGUACUAGAAGUCUGCGGCCUGACCCGCAAGGGGAGGAGCGGCCUAAGGUAUGACUCAUGAUUGGGGUGAAGUCGUAACAAGGUAAAUCGAAUUCCCGCGGCC